GACGAACGCUGGCGGCGUGCUUAACACAUGCAAGUCGAACGGUGAAGCGCCUUCCUUUUUGGUGGGUGUGGAUGAGUGGCGAACGGGUGAGUAACACGUGAGUAACCUGCCCCCUUCUUCUGGAUAACCGCAUGAAAGUGUGGCUAAUACGGGAUAUUCUGGGUCUGUCGCAUGAUGGGUCUGGGAAAGAUAUUGUUUCGGUGGGGGAUGGGCUCGCGGCCUAUCAGCUUGUUGGUGGGGUGAUGGCCUACCAAGGCGGUGACGGGUAGCCGGCCUGAGAGGGUGGACGGUCACACUGGGACUGAGACACGGCCCAGACUCCUACGGGAGGCAGCAGUGGGGAAUAUUGCACAAUGGGCGCAAGCCUGAUGCAGCGACGCCGCGUGAGGGAUGGAGGCCUGCGGGUUGUGAGCCUCUUUCGCCAGUGAAGCAGGCCUGCCUCGUUUGUGGGUGGGUUGACGGUAGCUGGAUAAGAAGCGCCGGCUAACUACGUG
rnacentral:rRNA from 1 species